rnacentral:rRNA from 1 species
UACAUGUGGGGCAAGCGUUGUUCGGAAUUACUGGGCUUAAAGGGUGCGUAGGCUGCGCGGAAAGUUGGGUGUGAAAUCCCUCGGCUCAACCGAGGAACUGCGCCCAAAACUACCGUGCUCGAGGGAGACAGAGGUGAGCGGAACUUAGGGUGGAGCGGUGAAAUGCGUUGAUAUCCUAAGGAACACCCGUGGCGAAAGCGGCUCACUGGGUCUCUUCUGACGCUGAGGCACGAAAGCUAGGGUAGCGAACGGG